GAUGAACGCUGGCGGCGUGCCUAAUACAUGCAAGUCGAGCGAACGGACGAGAAGCUUGCUUCUCUGAUGUUAGCGGCGGACGGGUGAGUAACACGUGGAUAACCUACCUAUAAGACUGGGAUAACUUCGGGAAACCGGAGCUAAUACCGGAUAAUAUUUUGAACCGCAUGGUUCAAAAGUGAAAGACGGUCUUGCUGUCACUUAUAGAUGGAUCCGCGCUGCAUUAGCUAGUUGGUAAGGUAACGGCUUACCAAGGCAACGAUGCAUAGCCGACCUGAGAGGGUGAUCAGGCACACUGGAACUGAGACACGGUCCAGACUCCUACGGGAGGCAGCAGUGGGGAAUAUUGGGCAAUGGGCGAAAGCCUGAGCCAGCAAAGCGGCGUGUGUGAUGAAGGUCUUCGGAUCGUAAAACUCUGUUAUUAGGGAAGAACAUAUGUGUAAGUAAAUGUGCACAUCUUGACGGUACCUAAUCAGAAAGCCACGGCUAACUACGUG
rnacentral:rRNA from 1 species